AUGUUGAUGCUGGAGCCACCUGCUUCUUAUUCUCUAUCUGCACCUUCCUCUCACCUUCUGUAAACCUGUGAGAGAGACGAGGUAGUGAGAUUGCGAUAGGCUUCUUGUGUAAUUUCAUAGUGGGUAGAGUAGAGAAAGCCUAAUGCAUACUGUUGGGAGAUCAUUAUGUAUGAUUUUGGAAAGGGGGUGAGCAUGAGAUGGGGGAAUAGGGUUACUCUGAAGAAAUGGGAAGAGCAAUCAAGGAGAAGCAUAGUAUUCAGAUUCUCUAAUUUGACCCCAUGGCCAACUUCAUAUUGUUUCCACUAGAUAUCAUUUUAAAUAUUCCUGUGGUUUCGUGGUCCUAAGAAUAUGAAGGCAUGCAAGAUUCCAAGAUUAAAGAUGUUAAAGCCAGAUAGAAAAGAUAUUUAAAUAUUUCAAAAUCUAACAAGUUCAAAUGACUUUAGUUUUAGAAAGAAAAAAACACAUUAAUGAGCCCAAGAAAUACACGCAACUCUGCAACUCUGGUGAGCAUGAUAGACUUCUAAGAGUAAAUGUACUAGAUACAACCUAAAUUCAGGGACUUAUUAAAGCUCUACUACUCAUUACUAGUGACUCAGAGCAAGUAUCUAUAACCUCUCUAAUCUCUAGUUUUCUCAUUAAAAAAUGGGCAUGAUAUUUUACUUGUCUUGUUUGAUUGUUGUAAGGAAUGAAUAAUGUGGCUCAUAGCAAAGAGCCAGGCAGAGUGGAAGCUCUCAGUACAAGUAGCUAUUGUUAUUAUCUAGCCUCCAUGUUUUGGGUGUCCUAGGACAUGCUUUUUUUUUUUUUCCAUUGCAGUAGAUUUCCACCUGUUCCCAUCCUCCACAGUCUCCCAUCCCACCAGCAACACACGUGAGAUAUCUGAUGCCUUCCCAUCAAUAACUCUCACUUAGUAUGGGUAAGCAAAAAAUUUCCAACCAGGGAUGGAAGUUGUGGAGAGAUAGAGUGGGAAAGCUCAAGGAGCAUUGAUAGGGAUCAUUAAUUAAAAAUCUACCAAACAUCUCUUUCUCUCCCUAAUGUGCGAGUUACAAUAACAUCACUCAAAGCAGUUUGCAGCCACAGCUUGAAGAAAUACAGUAACAAUGACAGAAUUAACAUUCACUAUCUUUAUUAACAUUUUUACUUUCUUAAACCUUGUUUCUUUCAAAAGACACUGGCAUAGUCCUGUAUGAAUUAUGUGGAUUUGCCAAGAGAAAAAAAUAAAAUGAUACAACAAAUGG
rnacentral:antisense_RNA from 1 species